rnacentral:tRNA from 1 species
GAUGGUGUAGCUCAGCGGUUAGCGGUUGACUGUUAAUCAACGGUCGAUGGUUCAAAUCCAUCCACCAUCGCCA